UCUUGAGAACAAAGGAAAAAAGACUUGUUACCUCUUCCAAUCUGAAUCCAGUCAGGAAGCACAGAACAAGCUGUCAGGGAAUCAGAAUUAGCUUAAUAACAUAGGACAUGCAAAUCAUAGAAUGAGUAACUAAACAAGGCACGGACAAAGAGGGGAUACAGUGUGUUCACAAGCAACAACUGAAUAGAGUAUGACGGGAAAAAUAAAGUUAAGGCAGCGACUGGACAGAGAGAAAAGUGGGGCUUAUAUCUAAUGCUAGGAGAGAGUCAAAUUGUACAUAUGCAAAAAAGGAACGAAACAAAGAAAUUCAACAGGCUAUAAUAAAAAGAAAUACCUUUACAUAGAUUGAGAGGCAGUUGGUUACUUUGCCACAAUACAUGAAGUAAGCUUUGAUUCAGAAAUAUAAGACUCCCACUGCCAAGUUCUUGGAUGACAUAACAAGGAAGUCAGGAUUGCUCCUUUGGGGAGGGUGCCAAAUCCAGCAAUUGUUUGGGAAGAAGAGUCAUUUAUCAUUCCCCUUUUGUGGAGGAUUCAACAGGUGCAGAGGGAUACAAUGCAGCCACCCAUUUCACAUGUAAAGAUACAGUCAACCUGAAGCCUAGUCAAAAUUUUAUUGUUUUUUUUAUUAGAUAGUUCUAGCCUUGCUACAAGUUCUGGCACCACUGCCAUUUUCAGUAAUACUCAGAAUUCAAGGGCAUACUAUUCCAGAGAAUUUUCCAAGAAUGUGACCACUCCAUAACUGGGUACCUACACGGAGACUGAGCUCUCUUGAAAAACCUGACCCUAGAUUCACAAUCUAAGAUUUGGGAAAUCAAACCCUACAUUGCCCUCACAUUAUGGGAUCUACCAUUAGUCUUCUAAAAGCCUGCAUUUCAAGCAAGGGUUUCAGAUUAAAGCUUUCUACUUUUAGAUUUCUAGAUCUCUUAGGAAAUCUCGGAGAGGAUGGUCAAUCGGAGACCCUGGACAAAGUUUGGGAGGGUCAAAACAGGAUAACCAAAUCUGGCACUUUUGUUUCCAGCUGGAAAUAUCUGCAUUGAUUUUUUUCAAAGAUCCAAAGGAUCAGAAGGCAUUUUUCUGAAAUAAGCAUUGGUAACUGAGGACCUGAAAAAUGUUGGCACCCAGUUGUUAGCCAAGAAAAGAAACAGAAAAAUCACUGUUUCAAACUUGGUUCUUUCUGCAGGUUGGAGCCACUUGACAGGGCAUCUGCCAUCAUUCUUUUGCCAGCAAGAGAGCAGCUGACAUAACAGGUCUUUCAUCUAGAAGCCAUGUUUUUAUUUCUACCUUCAAUAUCCAAUGACAUUACAUGCCAACAGCUCAUUUCUGCAUGCAAUAAGGUUUUCUUCUUGUUUAAUAAAACGUAUAGCCGGGGAUGUGGUAGGAACAUUCUGUCAGUUUUCUGUAGAGUUUUAUGCUGAGUUUCUAAGUAGUUUGGUUUUAGACACAUUGGCUGCUUGUAGAUGUAAAAAAGCGGUGCUUUACUUGAGCGCGCUGAGCCCAGCACAUGCCCAGAAGAGGUAUUGCACUAGUUGGACCUGGCUCACCCCAAAUCUGUAUAGAUCAGGUCAAAGUAACAUGCUGCUUCUCCCAGUAAAGCACGUUUUUUUAAAACAUCUACAAACAGCUAUAAUUCUCAUUUUCAGCAAGUAACUACAGCUGCAUAAAAAUGCAUGAAGAAAGCCUACUCUUGGCAAUUUCAGGAUACUAAGAGUAUACAUAUAUCUGUUUAGUUCUCAUUUCUGGAUUUCUGGUCUUGGGAUGACUAAUGAACUGGUUUUUUAAAGCUUCCAAUAGCUUAGAAAGGAACCCUGAAAUUAUUUGAACAAAUAAGAUAGUCAGGAAUGAUGUAGGUAACAAUAAACCAGUAAACAAUCCAUACUCUUGUAAUUUUUUAAUAUUUCCUUUGAUUUUUUAUACUUGUUUAGUUAUUGCUAUUUAUAAGAUAGAUUUACUAAAGGAGUAGCAGUCCAAGCAGUACAGACAGACAGUCUCACUCCUGUAAAUUAGCAAUUCCUAAGAUAGUCCAUGCAGAUUGCUGAUCCAACACAUGAAAAAUAGAACAUCAUGUUUCUCAACGGAGCACUAUGGACAGUUUCACCAAGAAGAGAAGCCAUCCAAACAACAUCAAUUAGGUUUCUUUGCCCCUUCAAAAUCUUAAAUAUUUUAUACAGUGUUCCUUACUGGUAAUGUUAAAUAAGGAAGUUUAGACUUAACAUCUUCAUGGAAUACAGAUAUUCAACCUGAAUAAUUAUUUUCUGCAACUAAAGGGAAGGGUUUAGCAUAUACAAAGGAUGGCUUCUUCCUGAUGAGCUGGACAGUGAACAAUGAAUGACCAUUCUCUUGCUCCAUUUAAAGGAUUUGAUUUCCAAAACUCUAGAGGGACAUUUUAACUUUUCCUGCAGCUAGUCCCUCUCAAGGUAAGUAAAACAUUCACAUUAAAUAGCCUUAUAGGAACAUUUUUUGGUGUUAUGUACAUCCAAUUUCACAUCAAGAUUUUUGUUUUGCCUAAGAUUUCUGUCAAAUGUCUUAUCCUGGAACACUUCAUGCAAACAAUUUAGCCUCAACUAACUUCAAGAGAAGCAAAGGCCUACAUUGAUUUAAAGCUGAAGAAAGGCAAGACAAGCAGUUGAUUUCCGAAAAAAAAAAAAAA